AAGCCAUGGUGUGGACAUUGGUUUAAGUAGCCUCUGAACCUCUCAUAUGCUUCUCCAAAGCCUUCAAGAUUAUUUUGUUGAAACCCAGAGAUCUCAUUCCUAAGCUU
rfam:Brassica napus, WGS project CCCW01000000 data, contig: 6242